GAUGAACGCUGGCGGCGUGCUUAACACAUGCAAGUCGAACGGAAAGGCUCCUGCUUGCAGGGGUACUCGAGUGGCGAACGGGUGAGUAACACGUGGGUGAUCUGCCCUGCACUUCGGGAUAAGCCUGGGAAACUGGGUCUAAUACCGGAUAGGACGAUGGUUUGGAUGCCAUUGUGGAAAGUUUUUUCGGUGUGGGAUGAGCUCGCGGCCUAUCAGCUUGUUGGUGGGGUAAUGGCCUACCAAGGCGUCGACGGGUAGCCGGCCUGAGAGGGUGUACGGCCACAUUGGGACUGAGAUACGGACCAGACUCCUACGGGAGGCAGCAGUGGGGAAUAUUGCACAAUGGGCGCACGCCUGAUGCAGCGACGCCGCGUGGGGGAUGACGGCCUUCGGGUUGUAAACUCCUUUCGCUAGGGACGAAGCGCAAGUGACGGUACCUGGAGAAGAAGCACCGGCUAACUACGUG
rnacentral:rRNA from 1 species